UCACUUUAAGCAACCAAGGCAGUCAAGUUAUUGCUAAUGGAUCAUUCAUUGGUGCAGGAGUCUUUUUGGCAUUGUUUGCUAGGUCUAUGCAGAGGGUGAAGAAACUUGAUAAAUUUGAGAAGAUGAUAUGAUCUUCCAAUAUUCAAGUGUAUAAAAAAAAAAAAUUUAUUUUUAUUCCAUUUCAAAAAUGUAAUUUUAUCCAACAAUAUAGUAUAAUAUUUUACUUAUAGAUCCAUUGUAGAUAUACCCAUAAUCUUUUAUCCAACAAAUAUAAUGUUUUACUUAUAGAUCCA